rnacentral:rRNA from 1 species
GAUGAACGCUGGCGGCGUGCCUAAUACAUGCAAGUCGAGCGAACAGAUGAGGAGCUUGCUCCUCUGACGUUAGCGGCGGACGGGUGAGUAACACGUGGAUAACCUACCUAUAAGACUGGGAUAACUUCGGGAAACCGGAGCUAAUACCGGAUAAUAUAUUGAACCGCAUGGUUCAAUAGUGAAAGACGGUUUUGCUGUCACUUAUAGAUGGAUCCGCGCUGCAUUAGCUAGUUGGUAAGGUAACGGCUUACCAAGGCAACGAUGCGUAGCCGACCUGAGAGGGUGAUCGGCCACACUGGAACUGAGACACGGUCCAGACUCCUACGGGAGGCAGCAGUAGGGAAUCUUCCGCAAUGGGCGAAAGCCUGACGGAGCAACGCCGCGUGAGUGAUGAAGGUCUUCGGAUCGUAAAACCCUGUUAUUAGGGAAGAACAAAUGUGUAAGUAACUGUGCACGUCUUGACGGUACCUAAUCAGAAAGCCACGGCUAACUACGUG